rnacentral:rRNA from 1 species
GACGAUAAGCGGCCAGGGUCUGAGUUGAUACGGAGGGGGCGAGGGUGGUCCGGGAGUUGUGGGCGUAAAGAGCUGGGAUGCGGUCUGGCGCGGUGGCUGUGAAAACCUGGGGCGCAACCCCGGGCCUGCAGCCGAUACGGGCAGACUAGAAUUCGGUAGGGGAGACUGGAAUUCCUGGUGUAGCGGUGAAAGGCGCAGAUAUCAGGAGGAACACCGGUGGCGAAGGUGGGUCUCUGGGCCGAUAUUGACGCUGAGGAGCGAAAGCGUGGGGAGCGAACAGGAUUAGAUACCCGGGUAGUC